rnacentral:snRNA from 1 species
CAAGUCUCUUGCCUUUUGGCUUAGAUCAAGUGUAGUAUCUGUUCUUCAUAGUUUAAUCGCUGUGACCGGUCUACGGACCGUCAAUAAUGAUUAUUCUUAUUUUUGGAACCAGCUGCAGAACCUCUGGGCUUGCUCACGUUCUGUGGCACAGUGUCGCUCGUAUUCGCACUACCUCGAGCUGACGCGAAUCAUC